UUCAUCUACCAGCAUGAAGGAUUCAGGGAGCUCUAAAGGUCAGAUUUCCAGGCUCAUUCACAUCAAGUUUUUAAUCUGUGUUUCCAGUUCCUAUUCAUCUCUAUGAGGGCCCCGACCUUUAACCCAUUCAAAAAGCCAACUGACUACCCAAAUUUUACCUUUACCACUACCCCACACUGCUUACCCACCCUCCUAACAAGCAAACCCAUUGCUCUGAACCUUCAAUCUGUACCUCAUGUCAAUCAGCCACAGCCUUACUAAAUGAUGCUACCUGUGCCAA
rnacentral:lncRNA from 1 species